CCAAGGAGUCUAAUUAGGCAUCGAGUCGAUCGGUCUUGAUAGGCCAGAUAGGGGAACUUGUUUCCCCGAUUGAAGGCGUAGAGAAAUCAAAUCAUGUGAUCGCUGGGAUAAAAACAAUCCUGGUGCGCAACAUGUGCCUGUUCGUAUAGCAAUGUGCGUUAAAACACUUGCUGGGCGGAGCAAAGAGAUGCCUGAUUGGUACCCGAAAGAUGGUGAACUAUGCUUGGGCAAAUUGAAGCCAGAGGAAACUCUGGUGGAGGAUUGUAGCGAUUCUGACGUGCAAAUCGAUCGUCAGACCUGAGUAUAGGGGCGAAAGACUAAUCGAACCAUC
rnacentral:rRNA from 1 species